CAGCCUGGGAGUCAGGUCCCGUCGAAUAUUUUCAGCACAAAGCAGAAGAGUUCCCAUGAAAUCUGUCCCUUCAUUCCAGCAGGUGUCCUCUUUCGCUCUGGCAGCUGAGCACUGGAAGAAGCCUGUUUCAGAGGAAAGCCUCUAACAGUUUCGCGACGAGAUGGACCAAGCGUCAGGACAGGCGUAUUGUUCACACUAGCCUCCCGAACAGCGUAAUUGCUCACUUUAAAUUAGUAAUAAUGCUAAAUCGAGUGAAAAAUGCUUUUAAUAAUAAAUUAACAUUUUUAAAGAUUGUUUAUUUCAUUUUAUCUCAUCCUCUUUCAUUUUAGUGUGUUUCGUUGUGUAUUUAAUAUUUUAGUGCCG
rnacentral:lncRNA from 9 species